CCCGGAAGGGGAGUGAAAUAGAACCUGAAACCGUGUGCUUACAAGUAGUCAGAGCCCGUUAAUGGGUGAUGGCGUGCCUUUUGUAGAAUGAACCGGCGAGUUACGAUUUGAUGCAAGGUUAAGCAGUAAAUGUGGAGCCGUAGCGAAAGCGAGUCUGAAUAGGGCGUUUAGUAUUUGGUCGUAGACCCGAAACCAGGUGAUCUACCCUUGGUCAGGUUGAAGUUCAGGUAACACUGAAUGGAGGACCGAACCGACUUACGUUGAAAAGUGAGCGGAUGAACUGAGGGUAGCGGAGAAAUUCCAAUCGAACCUGGAGAUAGCUGGUUCUCUCCGAAAUAGCUUUAGGGCUAGCCUCAAGUGAUGAUUAUUGGAGGUAGAGCACUGUUUGGACGAGGGGCCCCUCUCGGGUUACCGAAUUCAGACAAACUCCGAAUGCCAAUUAAUUUAACUUGGGAGUCAGAACAUGGGUGAUAAGGUCCGUGUUCGAAAGGGAAACAGCCCAGACCACCAGCUAAGGUCCCAAAAUAUAUGUUAAGUGGAAAAGGAUGUGGCGUUGCCCAGACAACUAGGAUGUUGGCUUAGAAGCAGCCAUCAUUUAAAGAGUGCGUAAUAGCUCACUAGUCGAGUGACACUGCGCCGAAAAUGUACCGGGGCUAAACAUAUUACCGAAGCUGUGGAUUGUCCUUUGGACAAUGGUAGGAGAGCGUUCUAAGGGCGUUGAAGCAUGAUCGUAAGGACAUGUGGAGCGCUUAGAAGUGAGAAUGCCGGUGUGAGUAGCGAAAGACGGGUGAGAAUCCCGUCCACCGAUUGACUAAGGUUUCCAGAGGAAGGCUCGUCCGCUCUGGGUUAGUCGGGUCCUAAGCUGAGGCCGACAGGCGUAGGCGAUGGAUAACAGGUUGAUAUUCCUGUACCACCUAUA
rnacentral:rRNA from 1 species